GUUGGUGCUUUUUGCGGUUGGGGUACACCUCGUUACAUUCCGAACCGAGCAGUUAAGCCAGCCAGCGCCGAUGGUACUUACGGCAUUCAGCCGCCGGGAGAGUAGGCCAGCGCCAACA
rnacentral:rRNA from 2 species